rnacentral:lncRNA from 1 species
CCCCAGAAUAAAUUUUAUUAACAUCUGUUCUUACUUUCUUUAUUCCAUUUGAGUAGGACCAUAGGGAAGCAUUUACUCUUGAGUAAAGAGAAGGAAGGAUAGGAAUAUACUAUUAUUCUGUUGCUGGAACUUUUACUGUGUGCGUAUCUGUAUUCUUGUGUUUUCAAUCCUCCCUACCAUCCACCAUGGUAAAUCAAAAGAUGGUAUUCAACCCUUCAAAGGCCCAAAGCCUGCGGCCCGCAUAGCAAACAGCCUUGAGAACACAGAGUACUGAGAAGCCUACAGGGACUGGCAUCCCU